rnacentral:misc_RNA from 1 species
UGGACAGGGACCAAAACUCGCGAUUCCAAGAUUUCUGAAGCCACGACGCUGUCGAACAGAUCGCCGGUCUGGGCUGCGAUGACGGUGGCUGACGGAGCUGCAGCGGCUGGCGAAUGCGACGUCCAGUGGCUGACGACGAGACGCGGCGGCCGGCGGACAGGUAGUAAGGACGGGAUGCGGCUGCUGAAGCGAGAGGGAGAAUGGGGUUGCAGCUGCGAAAAAGUCGAGAAAGA